GCGAAUCGCCUGAAGCCAGCCUGUCCGUCGGCGGGUAGCGGGUUAAAUCAAACGGCGAGACUAAGUAUGUAGAACUGUCUGUGGCGCACUUAUGGACGCGGGUUCAAUUCCCGCCGCCUCCACCA
rnacentral:tmRNA from 1 species